rnacentral:rRNA from 1 species
GUUAGCGGCGGACGGGUGAGUAACACGUGGGUAACCUGCCUGUAAGACUGGGAUAACUCCGGGAAACCGGAGCUAAUACCGGAUAGUUCCUUGAACCGCAUGGUUCAAGGAUGAAAGACGGUUUCGGCUGUCACUUACAGAUGGACCCGCGGCGCAUUAGCUAGUUGGUGAGGUAACGGCUCACCAAGGCGACGAUGCGUAGCCGACCUGAGAGGGUGAUCGGCCACACUGGGACUGAGACACGGCCCAGACUCCUACGGGAGGCAGCAGUAGGGAAUCUUCCGCAAUGGACGAAAGUCUGACGGAGCAACGCCGCGUGAGUGAUGAAGGUUUUCGGAUCGUAAAGCUCUGUUGUUAGGGAAGAACAAGUGCAAGAGUAACUGCUUGCACCUUGACGGUACCUAACCAGAAAGCCACGGCUAACUACGUGCCAGCAGCCGCGGUAAUACGUAGGUGGCAAGCGUUGUCCGGAAUUAUUGGGCGUAAAGGGCUCGCAGGCGGUUUCUUAAGUCUGAUGUGAAAGCCCCCGGCUCAACCGGGGAGGGUCAUUGGAAACUGGGAAACUUGAGUGCAGAAGAGGAGAGUGGAAUUCCACGUGUAGCGGUGAAAUGCGUAGAGAUGUGGAGGAACACCAGUGGCGAAGGCGACUCUCUGGUCUGUAACUGACGCUGAGGAGCGAAAGCGUGGGGAGCGAACAGGAUUAGAUACCCUGGUAGUCCACGCCGUAAACGAUGAGUGCUAAGUGUUAAG